AUGUAAGUAAGCAUGGAGUGCGGAACUUUGUAGAGGAGAGAUUGCUGGAAGACCUGUCAAUGGUUUAUGGGCUGGUUGGACCUAGUUCCAUGCCUACCGGGGCAGGGGAUCAACAGACCCAAGCCUAAAAACAGAACAGCAGCAAUGAUCUGAGGAGAAACAAACUGAUUUACUAAGUGCCCUACAGAAAAACAGAAGUCUGGCAUUGCUUCCUGUGAGAGCCGAAAGCCUGGAACUGGAGCCAAAGAAGCCUGUAAAGAAGGUGGUUCCCGCAGGCAGCGAGCUGUGCACUGACCCCAGGCUUCUGCAGCGACUACGUCUGGAGGAGUUUCUCCACUUGCUGGAAAGAAAACAUAAGGAGAAUUUUAGUGGGCAAAAUAAAGGCAUCUCUGCUCAUGUGAAUGCUCACCCAUGAGCACAACAGAGCAACACAUGUGAACCACAGAUUUUGUUUCUCUACUUUUCUUGCAGUCAUUCAUACUGUUACCUUUUUCAAUGUAUUGAUCUGCUUUUUCUGUAAACGGUGAUCUGCAGUUCAAGGUUCUUCCUUAAGGAAUAAUUCUAAGAAGAUAUUAAUAAAAUUGGAAGAAAUUACCAAGACUCCAACCCAUACAGAUUGCAGUCCCAGAGCCUCUCCACUUGAUGGCUGAUUGUAUCACUGCCAGUCGCCUGCUGCCCUGUAUCCCGAAGAACUGGGACUGAUUUAGGUCAGAGUCUGGUUGUUCGCUUGAGCUUUGCUACACUGAUGUAAGAAACUGCAGCAAAUUGUAUUACCCAUCUGCACGGCCCUGGAACGCCAGCACAGCUUCGGAAGAGGAGCACCUGCAAAGGCCCCAGUCAGGCAAACAGAGACAAGUGCCGCCAUCUCCACGGUCUUGUGGCUGCAGGUGUAUCGUCACGGCACAGAGUGGGAGAGCAGCUUUCUUCCUCAGCGGCAGCGUGGGCACCGAGCUCCACACAGUCCCUGCUCAGCCGAAAGAGCUGCCAGGCUGGAGCCAGCAUAUCCAGGCUGCAUGUCUGCUUCUGCGCUAACACCAGGAAAACGUCUCUCG
rnacentral:lncRNA from 1 species